GAUGAACGCUAGCUACAGGCUUAACACAUGCAAGUCGAGGGGAAACGAUAGAGAAAGCUUGCUUUUUCUAGGCGUCGACCGGCGCACGGGUGAGUAACGCGUAUCCAACCUGCCCACCACUUGGGGAUAACCUUGCGAAAGUAAGACUAAUACCCAAUGAUAUCUCAAGAAGACAUCUGAAUGAGAUUAAAGAUUUAUCGGUGAUGGAUGGGGAUGCGUCUGAUUAGCUUGUUGGCGGGGUAACGGCCCACCAAGGCGACGAUCAGUAGGGGUUCUGAGAGGAAGGUCCCCCACAUUGGAACUGAGACACGGUCCAAACUCCUACGGGAGGCAGCAGUGAGGAAUAUUGGUCAAUGGGCGAGAGCCUGAACCAGCCAAGUAGCGUGCAGGAUGACGGCCCUAUGGGUUGUAAACUGCUUUUAUAAGGGAAUAAAGUGAGUCUCGUGAGACUUUUUGCAUGUACCUUAUGAAUAAGGACCGGCUAAUUCCGUGCCAGCCGCCGCCGUAA
rnacentral:rRNA from 1 species